GCGGGUGUGGCGGAAUUGGCAGACGCGCUAGAUUUAGGAUCUAGUGUCUCGCGACGUGGGGGUUCAAGUCCCUCCACCCGCACCA
rnacentral:tRNA from 3 species